CACUCAGGAAUGGUGACAGAGAUGUGCCUCUCCCUCACAUGCUUCCCCUUCAUUAGGUAAAGAUAGAAAUGGCCUAUCCACCCACGUCACCACAAACCUGCACUAUCAUAUGACAUCCAGGUCACAGAUUUAUUUCUGAAGCAACUUUAUUCUUAGUUUCCAUCAUCCCCCUGAAUGGAACAAGAAUUUAUAGCUCGCGGGGACACUGCCAGAGUAUUUCAAGUGAUGUAACCAGCUGUCCUAAACAUAUUGGAAGGAAAACAACAGAGGGUCCAGCUGAGAGUAUAAAGCAAGAGAUACUUAACAUGUCUGUUGACCCAGCUCAGGAAGAAGACCAGAAAAGUACAGAAAAAUAGAGACAAGGGGAGAUUGUA